GAUGAACGCUGGCGGCGUGCCUAAUACAUGCAAGUCGAGCGAACGGGCCUGCAUCUUGCUGCGCAGAUGUUAGCGGCGAACGGGUGAGUAACGCGUGGAUAGCCUACCUAUUAGACUGGGAUAACUUCUAAAAACGGUAGCCAAUACCUGAUAAUAUUUUGAACCGCAUGGUGCAACAUGGAAUGGCGGUCUUUCUGUCACUGAUAGGUGGAUCCGCGCUGCCUUAUCUGCUUGGUAAGGUAACGGCAUACCAAGGCAACGAUGCAUAGCCGACCGGGGAGGGUGGUGGGGCACACUGGAACUGAGACACGGUACAGACUACUACGGGACGCAGGAGUGGGGAAUCUUCCGCAGUGGGCGGAAGCCUGACGGAGCAACGCCGCGUGAGUGAUGAAGGGCCGCGGAUCGUAAAACUCUGUUAUUAGGGAAGAAAAGAUGUGUAAGUAAUGGUGCAGAUCUUGACGGUAUCGAAUCAGAAAGCCAGGGCUAACUACGU
rnacentral:rRNA from 1 species